rnacentral:tRNA from 1 species
UAGAUAGAUGCUCGCUGGUUUGGGCGCUUAGCUGUUAACUAAGAUUUUGUGGGAUCGAGGCCUACCUAUCUAG